AGCAGCCGCGGUAAUUCCAGCUCCAAUAGCGUAUAUUAAAGUUGUUGCAGUUAAAAAGCUCGUAGUUGAAUUUCGGAGUUCUACCGUCGGUCGGGCUACCAAGUCUGUACUGGUGUGUAGAAUUCCUACCUUCUGGGGAACUAUCAUGUUAUUAAUUUAGCGUGGUGGGAAACCAGGACCUUUACCUUGAAAAAAAUUAGAGUGUUCAAAGCAGGCUUAUGUCUGAAUACAUUAGCAUGGAAUAAUAGAAUAGGACGGUGGUCCUGUUUUGUUGGUUUCUGAAUCACCGUAAUGAUUAAUAGGGAUAGUUGGGGGCAUUAGUAUUCAAUUGUCAGAGGUGAAAUUCUUGGAUUUAUUGAAGACUAACUUCUGCGAAAGCAUUUGCCAAGGAUGUUUUCAUUAAUCAAGAACGAAAGUUAGGGGAUCGAAGACGAUCAGAUACCGUCGUAGUCUUAACCAUAAACUAUGCCGACUAGGGAUCGGACGAUGUUAAAUUUUAUUGACUCGUUCGCGCCUUACG
rnacentral:rRNA from 1 species